rnacentral:rRNA from 1 species
AUGUGUGGGAUUUGCUUCGAAAGUUGUCCACGUGAGUCAAUGGGUGCUGCUUCAUGUGGGCAUUCUUUCUGUGGUGUAUGUUGGGGAGAGAAGAUGGCACAACUGAAUACGGAGAUCCGUCUGUUGAAGACGCUGAGGCACAAGAACAUUCAGAAGUUGUUUGCCUCAUGGAUUGAUGAGGAUAAGAAGACAGUUAACAUCAUCACAGAGCUCUGCACAUCCGGCAGUUUGAGGCAGUUCCGUAAGAAGCACAAUAAAGUCUGUAUGAAGGCUAUGAGAGGAUGGGCAAUACAGAUAUUGACAGGGCUGGAAUAUCUAGGCAGUCAGGAACCAACCAUUAUUCAUAGGGAUUUAAAGUGUGACAACAUAUUCAUAAACGGUCAUGAUGGACAAGUGAAGAUUGGCGACUUUGGUCUGGCGACAUUUUUGCAUCAACGGAAAACGAGAAGUAUCAAAGGCACAUUAGAGUUUAUGGCACUAGAACUCUUCACUGGGAAUUACAACGAGUUGGUGGAUAUAUAUUCAUUUGGGAUGUGCAUGCUUCAAAUGGUGACAUGUGAAUAUCCAUACAGUGAAUGUGAAGGCAAGCCAUGGAUAUACAAGAAAAUUUCUGAAGGUAUAAAACCAGCUGUGCUUUCCAAGGUUGAAGAUGCAGAAGAGGUUUCAUAG